AUUGAACGCUGGCGGCAUGCUUUACACAUGCAAGUCGGACGGCAGCGCGGGCUUCGGCCUGGCGGCGAGUGGCGAACGGGUGAGUAAUACAUCGGAACGUGCCCAGUAGUGGGGGAUAGCUCGGCGAAAGCCGGAUUAAUAACGCAUACGACCUGAGGGUGAAAGCGGGGGCCUUUAGGGCCUCGCGCUAGUGGAGCGGCCGAUGGCAGAUUAGCUAGUUGGUGGGGUAAAGGCCUACCAAGGCGACGAUCUGUAGCUGGUCUGAGAGGACGACCAGCCACACUGGGACUGAGACACGGCCCAGACGCCUACGGUAGGCAGCAGCGGGGAAUUUUGGACAAUGGGCGGAAGCCUGAUCCAGCAAUGCCGCGCGUGUGAUGAAGGCCCUCGGGUUGUAAAGCACUUUUGGCAGGAUCGAAAAGUGCCGUGCUAAUACCACGGUACGAUGACGGUACCUGCAGAAUAAGCACCGGCUAACUACGUG
rnacentral:rRNA from 1 species